UGAUAGCUGUGAAGCGUGAGGUUGCCGCUCGGAUAGAGCGGGUUUUCCGUGGAGCGAAUGUCAAGUUAGGAAACUGGCGACAA
rnacentral:ncRNA from 1 species